CCUACGGGAGGCAGCAGUGGGGAAUAUUGGGCAAUGGACGAAAGUCUGACCCAGCAACGCCGCGUGAAUGAUGAAGGUCUUCGGGUUGUAAAGUUCUUUUCUAAGGGAAGAAAAAGGUGACGGUACCUUAGGAAUAAGCCUCGGCUAACUACGUGCCAGCAGCCGCGGUAAUACGUAGGAGGCGAGCGUUAUCCGGAAUGACUGGGCGUAAAGGUUGCGUAGGUUGUUUGGCAAGUUAGUAGCGUAACUCCAAGGCUCAACCUUGGAACUACUACUAAAACUGUUGGACUUGAGUGUAGGAGGGGAAAGCGGAAUGCCUGGUGUAGCGGUGGAAUGCGUAGAUAUUAGGAGGAACACCAGUGGCGAAGGCGGGUUGCUAGACUGUAACUGACACUGAGGCACGAAAGCGUGGGGAGCAAACAGGAUUAGAUACCCCUGUAGUC
rnacentral:rRNA from 1 species